rnacentral:rRNA from 1 species
GACGAACGCUGGCGGCGUGCUUAACACAUGCAAGUCGAACGGAAAGGCCCUGCUUUUGUGGGGUGCUCGAGUGGCGAACGGGUGAGUAACCCGUGAGUAACCUGCCCUUUACUUUGGGAUACCUUCAGGAAACUGGGGCUAAUACCGGAUAGGAGCUCCCGCUGCAUGGUGGGGCUUGGAAAGUUUCGGCGGUUGGGGAUGUACUCGCGGCUUAUCAGCUUGUUGGUGGGGUAGUGGCUUACGAAGGCUUUGACGGGUAGCCGGCCUGGGAGGGUGACCGGCCACAGUGGGCCUGAGGUGCCGCCCAGACGCCAACGGGGGGCAGCAGUGGGGAAUAGUGCACGAUGGGCGGAAGCCUGGUGCAACAUCGCCGCGUGCGGGAUGUCUGCCUUCAGGUUGGAAACCGCUUUAGCCUGUGACGAAGCGUGAGUGACGGUAAUGAGUAAAGAAGCACCGGCUAACUACGUG